rnacentral:rRNA from 1 species
UACGAAGGGGGCUAGCGUUGUUCGGAUUUACUGGGCGUAAAGCGCACGUAGGCGGAUCGUUAAGUCGAGGGUGAAAUCCUGGAGCUCAACUCCAGAACUGCCUUCGAUACUGGCGAUCUUGAGUCCGGAAGAGGUGAGUGGAACUCCUAGUGUAGAGGUGGAAUUCGUAGAUAUUAGGAAGAACACCAGUGGCGAAGGCGGCUCACUGGUCCGGUACUGACGCUGAGGUGCGAAAGCGUGGGGAGCGAACAGG